rnacentral:tRNA from 1 species
CGGAAAUAGCUCAGUGGUAGAGCACCACCUUGCCAAGGUGGGGGUCGCGAGUUCGAAUCUCGUUUUCCG